AGUGAACGCUGGCGGUAGGCCUAACACAUGCAAGUCGAACGGCAGCACAGUAAGAGCUUGCUCUUACGGGUGGCGAGUGGCGGACGGGUGCGGAAUACAUCGGAAUCUACUUUUUCGUGGGGGAUAACGUAGGGAAACUUACGCUAAUACCGCAUACGACCUACGGGUGAAAGCAGGGGAUCUUCGGACCUUGCGCGAUUGAAUGAGCCGAUGUCGGAUUAGCUAGUUGGCGGGGUAAAGGCCCACCAAGGCGACGAUCCUUAGCUGGUCUGAGAGGAUGAACAGCCACACUGGAACUGAGACACGGCCCAGACUCCUACGGUAGGCAGCAGUGGGGAAUAUUGGACAAUGGGCGCAAGCCUGAUCCAGCCAUACCGCGUGGGUGAAGAAGGCCUUCGGGUUGUAAAGCCCUUUUGUUGGGAAAGAAAAGCAGCAGGUUAAUACCCCGCUGUUCUGACGGUACCCAAAGAAUAAGCACCGGCUAACUUCGUG
rnacentral:rRNA from 1 species